rnacentral:rRNA from 1 species
AUUCCCCUAGUAACUGCGAGUGAAGCGGGAAAAGCUCAAAUUUAAAAUCUGGCGGUCUCCGGCCGUCCGAGUUGUAAUCUAGAGAAGUGUUAUCUGCGCUGGACCGUGUACAAGUCUCCUGGAAUGGAGCAUCAUAGAGGGUGAGAAUCCCGUCUUUGACACGGACUGCCAGGGCUUUGUGAUGCGCUCUCAAAGAGUCGAGUUGUUUGGGAAUGCAGCUCAAAAUGGGUGGUAAAUUCCAUCUAAAGCUAAAUAUUGGCGAGAGACCGAUAGCGAACAAGUACCGUGAGGGAAAGAUGAAAAGAACUUUGGAAAGAGAGUUAAACAGUACGUGAAAUUGCUGAAAGGGAAACGCUUGAAGUCAGUCGCGUUGGCCGGGGAUCAACCUUGCUUUUGCUGGGCGUACUUUCCGGUCGACGGGUCAGCAUCAAUUUUGACCGUUGGAUAAAGUCCAGGGGAAUGUGGCAUCUUCGGAUGUGUUAUAGCCCUUGGUCGCAUACAACGGUUGGGAUUGAGGAACUCAGCACGCCGCAAGGCCGGGUACUUGUACCACGUUCGUGCUUAGGAUGCUGGCAUAAUGGCUUUAAUCGACCCGUCUUGAAACACGGACCAAGGAGUCUAACAUGCCUGCGAGUGUUUGGGUGGAAAACUCGGACGCGUAAUGAAAGUGAAAGUUGAGAUCCCUGUCGCGGGGAGCAUCGACGCCCGGACCAGACCUUUUGUGACGGAUCCGCGGUAGAGCAUGUAUGUUGGGACCCGAAAGAUGGUGAACUAUGCCUGAAUAGGGUGAAGCCAGAGGAAACUCUGGUGGAGGCUCGUAGCGAUUCUGACGUGCAAAUCGAUCGUCAAAUUUGGGUAUAGGGGCGAAAGACUAAUCGAACCAUCUAGUAGCUGGUUCCUGC